rnacentral:rRNA from 1 species
UACGGAGGGUGCGAGCGUUAAUCGGAAUUACUGGGCGUAAAGCGCACGUAGGCGGCUUUGUAAGCUAGAGGUGAAAGCCCGGGGCUCAACUCCGGAACUGCCUUUAAGACUGCAUCGCUUGAAUCCAGGAGAGGUGAGUGGAAGUUCCGAGUGUAGAGGUGAAAUUCGUAGAUAUUCGGAAGAACACCAGUGGCGAAGGCGGCUCACUGGACUGGUAUUGACGCUGAGGUGCGAAAGCGUGGGGAGCAA